CGAGCGCUUCACUUCGGUGAGGAGCGGCGGACGGGUUAGUAACGCGUGGGAACAUACCCUUUUCUAAGGAAUAGCCACUGGAAACGGUGAGUAAUACCUUAUACGCCCCUCGGGGGAAAGAUUUAUCGGUGAAGGAUUGGCCCGCGUUAGAUUAGAUAGUUGGUGGGGUAACGGCCUACCAAGUCGACGAUCUAUAGCUGGUUUGAGAGGAUGAUCAGCAACACUGGGACCGAGACACGGCCCAG
rnacentral:rRNA from 1 species